rnacentral:rRNA from 1 species
UACGUAGGGUGCGAGCGUUAAUCGGAAUUACUGGGCGUAAAGCGUGCGCAGGCGGUUUUGUAAGCCAGAUGUGAAAUCCCCGGGCUCAACCUGGGAACUGCAUUUGGGACUGCAAGGCUAGAGUACGGCAGAGGGGGGUAGAAUUCCUGGUGUAGCAGUGAAAUGCGUAGAUAUCAGGAGGAAUACCGAUGGCGAAGGCAGCCCCCUGGGUCGAUACUGACGCUCAUGCACGAAAGCGUGGGGAGCAAACAGG